CCUGCUAGUAAGGAGGUUAGGAGAGGAAUGGACCACCGAGUGCUAGGGAACAGCCCUUAGAAAGCGUGGAGCGAACUCAUCGUUAGACGCAUUUAUGCCAAGCUCAGGGUGCUGUCUGCAUAUUUUACCCUUAGUUGGCCAGCCUGCAUGAUUGGCAGGCAGCCUGACAUGCAUUCAUGCCAGGCUGGCCUUCCAAUUCUUUAGGCAGACACGCCCCCUUUUUAAGGCAUGUUCGCCUCUUUCG